CCUCUGUGAUGUUUCAAUAGAUCCUGCUGACUCUUCACUAUGUACUCAGAAGGGACGUGAGGAGACGUUGUGUCUGAGAGG